rnacentral:lncRNA from 1 species
CCUAACCUAAUUUAUUUCGUCUGAUACGCCACCUUUGAACCCCUUCGUCUCUCAAACUCUCUCGAACCUUCCUGGAACCCUAAUCGUCUCCCACCUUAUUUCACCGUGUUUCCAGCCACCAAAAUCCAUGGUUUCUCAGGCCAUGGAUGAUCUGUACUCACCCUUUCUCACCAUUAGACCUAAGCUAUUCAAGGAUGUGAAGUCUGACUUCGAUGGCUCUCUUCAAGACCUUCUCAGAUUUAGAUCUAUGGCUUCUCCAGCCAUUAUUCUGUCAUAUUCAAGCAAUAUGAGCCUUUUUGACUCAGGAUUUGACUUUCCUCAAAAUCUUUCUCAUUUAUAGGGUUUUCUCUACAACCCUAAGCUACCCGAGGUUCUUUACUUAGAUCUGGAACAUGUAUGUGUUCUAUUGAACUUUUUAAAGGUUUUCCCCAAAUUCUCUUUUUCAAAAUCGUUUAAUUUCAAUUUAGGGUCUUCGAAAAGUUUCUGCAAAAUAUCUUUAUGAUUAUUUUUGUUCUUUAUUUGUGUGUGUUUGUCUGACUUCUUUUACUACGCAUGUACUGUUCUUCUAAUUUAUUUUCUCAUAUGCUCACAUGUUAAUCUUUGCUAUAUGUGUUUACGAUUGAGUUCUUUGAUUUUGUUUGCGUUACUGGACGAUGUUUGUAUUCUUACUAAGCAUGAUUCAUCUUUUUUGCCUAAGUUUGUAUCCUUUUCUUCUGAACUUGUUUAAGUUCUGAGUUUUUUCUCAAAACGUGUUCUCCAUACUCUUAGCUAUAUAUCUUGUCUGUUUGUUUCUCAUAAGUCUUUGGAAAAGACCCAUGAGCCUCUAUCAAGCUGCUUGCCUUCUUAUCUCAAUUGUCUUACUCAAUUCAAAACCUUAAUAUUUGGGUGUUUCUUGGCAAUUAUGAUUUUUGCUCUUUGGACCCUGGACUCUCAGACUCCCCGUGAGUCUACAAAUUGGACUUGUACCACUUUUUGCUUAUGAUUCUGAACUUCUCUUUAAUUAAACUUUCUUCUAAAUAAUUUGACAAUCACUUCUUGAUUUACAUAUUUGUGUGCCUUAUAUAUAGGGACUCUACUUUCAAAAGUUUUUUUUCCCAGCUAAUUGAUUGAUUCCAAAAUCCUUUUAAUAAGGCUUGACUGAUUUUCUUUGAUUGAACCUCCUUUACUUUUUCCUGACUUGGUUCAUUUGAAUUGAACAUGUAAUUUUUGUUUCACUGGCUGUUGAUUGAUUCCCUUUCUAUAUUUGUCACAAAUCGUGUACCGUUGAUUGUUUUCCUUAAAUAAAUUCUAUGUAUUUGCCCCUUUUGUGCUAUUUUGAAAAGGUUUUAAUUAAAACUUCUUUCCUUAAUUGAAUUUUACCCGUUCAAAUCAGAAUGCCUUAACUAAAGGGAGAGUGAUUUCAAUGUUAAUUCCUUACCUUUUCUUACUUAUUUACUGCACUACAAAUAGGGCAUGACCCUUCUGCACUUACACACCUUCAGUUCAGACACUACCAAUCCUUAACUCCCAAUUCAAUACUCUCACACACAUACUAUUUUGAGUUCACCACCCUCUCAACAUUUUGGUUUUUUUGAGAUAUUUUAGAACUGUUUUGAUUGCAAGUUGGAUUUUUCAAGACUACUGUUUUACUUAUUUUCCCUGAAGCUGGUGUGUACUGAUUUCAUUUUUUGCCUCACCCAUAUGUGUUUACUUUAUAGUUUCAGCAUCCUUGUUUACUUUGAUGUUCAUGUUCAAUGAUUAAACUAUGUUUGUUCUUUUCUUGCAUCUGUUUCUAUUAUGAAUCCCUACUCCCUAUUCCCUUUGUGUGUUUGAGUUAAGGCUCAUUGCAUGGCAGUAUUCAAAUUUCUGUCUAGGUUAGAACCUGAUCCUCAAUGGAUCCUAACUCUUAAGACUUGGCUAAUAGGCUGGUCAGGGGUGUUCCAGCACUUCCAAUUGCUGGGCAUGACCACCAGCCUGCCAUGGCCUUCCCCAAUUCCCCUCUAUGCACUUAUACUUACUCUUAGAAUUUAAGUUCUGCCCUCUCUUAUGAGCCUUGCUUUGGGACCUUAAGUUCCCUCUGAAUUUGGACAUUUGAGGGCUGACCCUUCCACACUGCACUAUGAUCUAAUUCUGCAAUGUAUUUGGGGCGUAAGCACUGCCCGGAGCCCUUUAAGACUCUUGCGAACUUUGACACAUCCCAAAUAUGAGAAAGGCUUUUGGAAAUCUAAUCCUGGAAGUUGGUAUAUCUCAUAUUGUUAUACCUUGAGUCUGAAUUAGGCUGUUUGGUUGUAGCUUGGAGUUCUGAUGUAAUUUUUUUGGUCUUUUCUUGAUUCAUUCGGGUUUGUAAUAAUUUGUAAUAACUAUUGGGGAUGGCUAGUAGAAAAGGAUUUGAAUGAUUGUAUGCAAAGGGUAGAUAACUUGCCUAUAGGAUUUCUGAUUCCUGCAUUCAUACAGACAACAUGC